GAUGAACGCUGGCGGCGUGCUUAACACAUGCAAGUCGAACGGAAAGGCUCCUGCUUGCAGGGGUACUCGAGUGGCGAACGGGUGAGUAACACGUGGGUGAUCUGCCCUGCACUUCGGGAUAAGCCUGGGAAACUGGGUCUAAUACCGGAUAGGACCACAUUUUGGAUGGUGUGGUGGAAAGUUUUUCGGUGUGGGAUGAGCUCGCGGCCUAUCAGCUUGUUGGUGGGGUAAUGGCCUACCAAGGCGUCGACGGGUAGCCGGCCUGAGAGGGUGUACGGCCACAUUGGGACUGAGAUACGGCCCAGACUCCUACGUGAGGCAGCAGUGGGGAAUAUUGCACAAUGGGCGCAAGCCUGAUGCAGCGACGCCGCGUGGGGGAUGACGGCCUUCGGGUUGUAAACUCCUUUCGCUAGGGACGAAGCGCAAGUGACGGUACCUGGAGAAGAAGCACCGGCUAACUACGUG
rnacentral:rRNA from 1 species